rnacentral:rRNA from 1 species
CCUACGGGAGGCAGCAGUGGGGAAUCUUGGACAAUGGGCGCAAGCCUGAUCCAGCCAUGCCGCGUGAGUGAUGAAGGCCUUAGGGUCGUAAAGCUCUUUCGCCAGGGAUGAUAAUGACAGUACCUGGUAAAGAAACCCCGGCUAACUCCGUGCCAGCAGCCGCGGUAAUACGGAGGGGGUUAGCGUUGUUCGGAAUUACUGGGCGUAAAGCGCGCGUAGGCGGACCGAAAAGUUGGGGGUGAAAUCCCGGGGCUCAACCCCGGAACUGCCUCCAAAACUGCCGGUCUAGAGUUCGAGAGAGGUGAGUGGAAUUCCGAGUGUAGAGGUGAAAUUCGUAGAUAUUCGGAGGAACACCAGUGGCGAAGGCGGCUCACUGGCUCGAUACUGACGCUGAGGUGCGAAAGUGUGGGGAGCAAACAGGAUUAGAUACCCUGGUAGUCCACACCGUAAACGAUGAAUGCCAGUCGUCGGGUAGCAUGCUAUUCGGUGACACACCUAACGGAUUAAGCAUUCCGCCUGGGGAGUACGGUCGCAAGAUUAAAACUCAAAGGAAUUGACGG